GUUUUGAGAUCUUCUUGAAAAGAAGCUUUCCUGGCAUCUCUCAGACUCAAGAUGGAAUGUGACCAUCAGGAUGAACAUGGUGGCCGGCUACCGGCUGGAUCAAAAUCCAACUUUCAUGACGAUGAGCUGCAAAACAAUUCAGUUCUUAGUACAUCAGCUUUUCAACACACUGAAUCAUCUGAUGUAAAAGACCUGGAAUCUUCUGGAACAUGUCUUAAGGAUAGUGAACUAUCACCGACUGAUGAACUUUCUGGGAAGGAAAACUCGUGUCUUAUUUCUCCUCUGAGUAAAUCAAAACCGCUAGCAUUUGAUGUGCAUAUCAAAGAAGUACAAGCAGAUGUGAAAAAGUCAUUUCAAAAUAACAAAAACCCUCCUGGCAGUGACAUUAACAAUGCUUAUCCUGUCCGCGUUCAACUACCCACAAACCAUCUUAAAACAUCACAUAUCACUGAUUAUAAAGCAACACACCGUCAUCGGAAAAUCAGCCAGUCCUCUACCUCCACCUCCACACUGAGUCAUUUGAGCCUGAAAGCUCCUGUUGAAGACCUGUGUGCAUCCUUUCUGUUGGCGUGUUUGUUCUGCAAGUUUUGGGAUUGUGUGCUGGCCGUUGGUGAUGGAUGUCAGUACAGCGUGGCCUCUAUCUGUUCAUCCUUCUGCUCUAACGCAUGCUGUUGUGACCCUUCCUCUCUGGAGGAAUAUAUAGAUUUUUGCUCAUGUUGCAGCUGCACUGAAUACAUGGAGGCUUGCGGCUGUACUUGUGGAGAAAACACCUUUGACUGCUCCAUUUGUGAUCUCUGUCUACAGACAACUGAGUGUCUGGAACUAGGCAUGGAGCUUUCUCAGCUUCUGUUUCACUAG
rnacentral:lncRNA from 12 species